rnacentral:rRNA from 1 species
GACGAACGCUGGCGGCGUGCUUAACACAUGCAAGUCGAACGGAAAGGCCCUGCUUUUGUGGGGUGCUCGAGUGGCGAACGGGUGAGUAACACGUGAGUAACCUGCCCUUGACUUUGGGAUAACUUCAGGAAACUGGGGCUAAUACCGGAUAGGAGCUCCUGCUGCAUGGUGGGGAUUGGAAAGUUUCGGCGGGUGGGGAUGGACUCGCGGCUUAUGAGCUUGUUGGUGGGGUAGUGGCUUACCAAGGCUUUGACGGGUAGCCGGCAUGAGAGGGUGACCGGCCACAAUGGGACUGAGAUACGGCCCAGACGCGUACGGGAGGCAGCAGUGGGGAAUAUGGCACAAUGGGCGGGAGCCUGAGGCAGCGACGCCGCGUGCGGGAUGACGGCCUUCGGGUUGUAAACCGCUUUCGCCUGUGACGAAGCGUGAGUGACGGUAAUGGGUAAAGAAGCACCGGCUAACUACGUG